UGCCCAGAUGAUGCAGACAGCCCCA
rnacentral:piRNA from 1 species